GGGUUGCUAACUCAACGGUAGAGUACUCGGUUUUAAAA
rnacentral:tRNA from 4 species